UCGGAAGUGAGAAAGAGGUACAUAGUAGAGAAACCCUAGGCAGGGCAGGCUGUGAAUCGGAAGGGGCCGGGGGACAGCAAUGGAGGAAGAGAGAGUGAGCAUAUACAGAGUAGCAAGAAGCAUAAAGCGCAAGGAGAACAGUCUAUACAACGCGUUGCGAUCGAUCUACGAGGACUCCAUCUUCGUCGGAGAGAUCUCGCAGUUGUGGCCGGAGCUCCCGCUGCUCGCCAACCUCCGAUGCGGCCUCUGGUACUCCGCUAAGUUCCAUUCGACUUGCUAUUUCAAAUCCACCGACGGCCACGCUAACAAUUGGUCCUUCAACACCUCUCGCCUCAACCUCCAUGUCGCCCUCCUCGCCGGGCAGAAGGGAGGGUGCAUAAUUGUUGAUUCAACUCGGAAAGGAAAGAGAUUUCCAGAUAGCAUGUCGAAGACCAUCCCAAUUUGGGUGUGUGUGUUGAAUCGGGCAAUUUUACGUUAUAUAACCAAAAUGCAUGGGGCUGGUACACCAAUGGAGGGAGAAUCAAACACUUUUGGUAAGAAGAGUGAAGAUAUUGAACAAGUCUUUACCGACUGGGACUGUUCCCUGCAUCUACCCCUCUGGGUUCCUAGAACAGAGAAAGCUGCUAUUGAGGACCGCAUUGAGGAUUGGAUCAAGCAAUUGGAAACUAGUGGAGCUGAUAUCUCCUCUCUUGCGUCAGCCUUGAAAAAGCCAUUACGCCCCCUAUGGAUCUCACAAAAAACUGUCAUCUGGUUAAAUGAAGUACCUGAAUCUAAUUCUUGGGAUUUCACACCAAUUAUACUUCUUUCAGCAUCUUCCUCAAGUGGCAAUUUUCAGCACCGGACUACCUCAGAGUUUAGCUGGAAUUAUAUACCUGGAGCUGGAGAUGAUGAAGAAAGUUGGGCUAGGGGUUUAUCACCUAAUCUUUUCUGGAGACAUGCUUAUGAUCUCAUAAGUUUGGGUCCUGAUUUGUGUAACCAGAAGGUGGGUGAUAUUGUUGAAAAGGACAGAGUAUACCAUGCACAAAGGGGAGAGCAUGCUCCUCAGGUAUCUCUCAAGUUGUCAAAAUUGUCAGUGAGUAACAGUGAUUUUCCUGUUGAAGAAACAGAGCUUGACUUUGACUUUCCAGGCACUGAAAACAGUGUAUGGUCUUCCAGUGACACUUGCACAAUAUUCUGGUUGGGUUCAACUAAUCUUGCUGUGGCUGCUACUGAACAUGCUGGAGAUGCAUCUGAUGUUGAUUGCCUAUUGAACUGUGAUAGGGAGAGAGCCUCCCUCCGCCUUGACAAUCCUGAAGCAUACUUACACCUUCCAAUUGUGAAUUCAAAAUUGGAUCGGUUUUCUUUGUUAAGAAAUCUCCCUUCUGCAGUGAAUUUUGCAAACAGGAACUUAAGAAAGGGGAAGAAACUACUAAUUUGCUGCCAUAGUGGUAAGUUUUUUAUUUUCCCCCUUACGAGUACAAGAACGAUAGUGGACUUACUACUACCAUAAGACGUUUUGAAUACCAAAUACCAAGAGUUGGAUCCCUUAUUUAAUGACAAUGUUCCAUUGUGCUUUUGCGGCCGCUGAACCUUUGUGCACUUGAAAUGUUUGCCUUUUACUAUAAACAUCACCACUUAAAGAUUUCAACAGUAGUACAUUAUUUUAUGUUCAACUAGUGAUAUUGAAAUAACCGUUUUAUUUUUGUUCAUUCAGCAACCCAUUGCUGUCUGCGCCUGCCCCACAUAAGGCCUCUGGGGGACAAAGGGGUCAUUUUUUUAAAAUUGAGAUCAGUAUAUUAUAUUUGGUACAAUUAAUGAUACUUGCAUAACACACCACUUAUUGUUUCUUUACAAAGUGUCACUAGGCUGUGCCCGCAGAAGACCUUUAUGGAAUAAGGUGGCAGUGCUACUCUUUCUUACUGGUUUAUUGAAUCACAUUCUUCUGAAUUCUGAAAUUCAAUAAGGGAAGAUAUCAGCAUAUGUGUUUCUCUGGCGAUCUUGACCUCAUUAUUCAAUAACGAAGGAGUCUUUGAUGACGGGAAAUCUUUCAGUGAGAUACGCAUUACCAAGUUGGAGAUGCGUAGACGGCUGGUGUUUAUCUGC